AUUGAACGCUGGCGGCAUGCCUUACACAUGCAAGUCGAACGGUAACAGGUCUUCGGAUGCUGACGAGUGGCGAACGGGUGAGUAAUACAUCGGAACGUGCCCGAGAGUGGGGGAUAACGAAGCGAAAGCUUUGCUAAUACCGCAUACGAUCUCAGGAUGAAAGCAGGGGACCGCAAGGCCUUGCGCUCACGGAGCGGCCGAUGGCAGAUUAGGUAGUUGGUGGGAUAAAAGCUUACCAAGCCGACGAUCUGUAGCUGGUCUGAGAGGACGACCAGCCACACUGGGACUGAGACACGGCCCAGACUCCUACGGGAGGCAGCAGGGGGGAAUUUUGGACAAUGGGCGAAAGCCUGAUCCAGCCAUGCCGCGUGCAGGAUGAAGGCCUUCGGGUUGUAAACUGCUUUUGUACGGAACGAAAAGACUCUGGUUAAUACCUGGAGUCCAUGACGGUACCGUAAGAAUAAGCACCGGCUAACUACGUGCCAGCAGCCGCCGCUG
rnacentral:rRNA from 1 species